rnacentral:ncRNA from 2 species
UCAUAAACUAGCUUAAUAGGUGCUUUCCGCUGAAUCUAGCGGAAGCUUAAUAGGGAAGUUCGGUUCAAUUCCGAUGCGGUCCCGCCACUGUAACGCUGAGCUAACAAUCAUAGCCACUCUCGAUAACAAGAGGGGAAGGAGAUUGUACAAGCGAUGAAGCGAAGCCAGGAGACCUGCCUGAUAAGUAAUUUAUUU